AGGGUAGCUCAGUGGUAGAGCAUCUGCUUUGCAUACAGAAGGUCCCGAGUUCAGUCCCUAGCAUCUCUG